AACCAAUGAAGACACAAACCCAUGUCCUGAAGAUAUCCGUGCUAGCAUGAUUAGUCUUUCCGAGGUUU
ensembl:ncRNA T28D6.10 ncRNA